CCAACACAAGAUGUCCUGGAAGGAAUUUUUGUGAUUGGCUUGACAUAAUAUGCAUUGGAAGAUCAUAUUCCACAGAAGAAUUUUCACACAUCCAAUUACAACUUUGGCGUUUGCUGCCAGAUGAUCCAGGCCAAGAUAAUUUUGCUUCUUAAAAAACGAGUUUAAGUUCUGGUGAAGAACUUCUGAGUCAUUGAUUCUGCGUGCGGUGGACAGCUGUAAAAACAUAUUGUAUGGACUCUACUUCAAUUCCGUCUUCAAAACAAGUAAUACAGUGAGUUGUAAAUACCCAUCUCACUUGUUGACAAUUAUUGGUAUCUGGCACUAGUGCUAAGGACACUUGGAAGGUAGUUUCUUGAUUUGUAUCAUCUCUUUUUUUUUUAAUAUUUAUUCUCUCCAUUUUCUUUCAUGUAGAAGGACGUUGGUUAUACAACAAAACAGGAUAUGAGGAGCUCCCGAGCUGCAACUGCAACCUCUCUGCUAGUCUAAAUAUGUUAGAAGUAGCAGUAUUUAGUGUUUAUGCCAUAUUUCUUGUGUUCUGUUUUUGUCCUUUUCAGCAUUUUCCUAUACAUGAAUAAGUUGAACAAUAGACUGAUCUUCAUACCCUUUCAUUAUUAUUUGAAUUUUAGGAUUUGAUGGUAUAGAAUCUCCGCUGAGGCCAGGAUAUGAACUCUCUCUAGGAGUGUUUUACUGUUUUUAUUAUGAAUAAGGUGGUGAUCCUUCUCUUAAAUUUUGUAAAUUAUUAAUUUUUAUCUCUACUUAGAUGAGAAAAUUUUAAAAAUUUUCAGUAGCUAAUUCUAUGUGGGCAGGGCAUGGAAUGAUGAGAGAUAAAGUUUUAGCUGCUCAACAAUUUUUCCACUCUAUUUCUUCUGAAAUGGGUAGUACAUUACAUUGAUUUCUUCAUUUAUACAAUGGCUCAUCAAGAAUAAAGAGUCACAGGGUUACGGUGUUUACAUCCCUGAAAUUCUGAUAAGUUGGAAAGUGGUGAACAAAUGCAAAGGGUGUCAAAUCCAUUGGCAGCUCAUUAUUUUAAGUUAUUAGGGACUAUCAGAAACCAAAACAAGAUGUUGUGGCAGCAAUUACUUGCAACCCUACUUCUUUUGAUGUGCAAAAAGCUGUAACAAAUUGGUGGAAAUCAAGAAGUAAGCAUGGGUCCCAAAGAAGUGACCAUUUAAUGUACUCCUGGAUUUUUAUUUCUAUGUUUGGCUCGUAAUAUCUAAUCUAGACUCUAGAUACAAUGCAACAUCUUACCUCCCUUGAAAAUUGAGAAGGUGGCGGUUUUGUGUCGAGUUAUGCUAUUGAAUGAUGAAGAAGGCUAGACUAUGGAGAUAUGCAGCGAUAUGUUACUUUCCAACAUGAUUGAAUGCUUUUGGCCCAUUGCGAGAUAAAUGAACUUCACUUAUCAGAAAAAAGUUAGGCAUCUUAUGAUCCUCCCUUCAUAUUCAACAGAGUUUAGAUGGUAGAUUUUUGAAGUUAUGUAUAAUCUGUAUGUUUGUAAUUGUAAAGUUUUUUAGUUUUGAAGUUUGUAAUCGAGAGAAGCUACUACGGUGGCCCAUUCUCUUACUAGGUAGCCAUUGGGAUGGAGCCCCCGGGCUCCUUGUAGUCUGUUCUUUUGGAUGUUCACUUCCAAGCUUUUUUUACUUUAACAUUUUAGAUUCUGAGUUGGGUAUGAAGGAUAGAUCUAUUGGCCUUGAGUUUAG